AAAAUAGAAACAAAAAAAAAAGUAACAGUCAGUAAAUUAUCAAAUACAGUGCCAUCAAUAAUUAAAUAAUUUAUGAAAUUUCCUACAUUAGUAUUUCUCAGUUUAUUAAUUAAUAGAUAAAGUUCAAAUUUAGUUUUAGCAAAUAUCUAAACUAUACUUGGAGAUUUUACUUCUAAUGUAUUCAUGUGUAUGGGAUAAACAGCAUAUUCUAGCACGGUUUUUUCUUCUUACACUAAGUAAAAUUUUGUUUAUAGUAAAAAUGAUAAUUUAUUUUUUUACCAAAAAAACUAGUCACUUUAGUCAUAGCGAAAUUUAGCAGCAAGUAAGUACUGUAAAAUUAGCAUUAUUGAUGUAUA